GACGAACGCUGGCGGCGUGCUUAACACAUGCAAGUCGAACGGAAAGGCCCUGCUUUUGUGGGGUGCUCGAGUGGCGAGCGGGUGAGUAACACGUGAGUAACCUGCCCUUGACUUUGGGAUAACUUCAGGAAACUGGUGCUAAUACCGGAUAGGAGCUCCUGCUGCAUGGUGGGGGUUGGAAAGUUUCGGCGGUUGGGGAUGGACUCGGGGCUUAUCGGCUUGUUGGUGGGGUAGUGGCUUACCAAGGCCUUGACGGGUAGCCGGCCUGGGAGGGUGACCGGCAACAUGGGAACUGGGAUACGGCCAGGACUCCUCGGGGAGGAAGCGGGGGGGAAUAUGGCACAAGGGGCGGAGGCCUGAUGCGGCAACGCCGCGUGCGGGAUGACGGCCUUCGGGUUGUAAACCGCUUUCGCCUGUAACGAGGCGUGAGUGACGGAAAUGGAUAAAGAAGCACGGGCUAACUACGG
rnacentral:rRNA from 1 species